rnacentral:rRNA from 1 species
UACAGAGGGUGCAAGCGUUAAUCGGAGUUACUGGGCGUAAAGGGCGCGUAGGCGGAUGAAUAAGUCAAUUGUGAAAUCCCCGGGCUUAACCUGGGAAAGUCAGUUGAGACUGUACAUCUAGAGUGAAGUAGAGGGUGACGGAAUUUCCGGUGUAGCGGUGAAAUGCGUAGAUAUCGGAAGGAACACCAGUGGCGAAGGCGGUCACCUGGACUUUUACUGACGCUGAGGCGCGAAAGCAUGGGUAGCGAACAGG